rnacentral:rRNA from 1 species
GAUGAACGCUGGCGGCGUGCCUAAUACAUGCAAGUCGAGCGAACGGACGAGAAGCUUGCUUCUCUGAUGUUAGCGGCGGACGGGUGAGUAACACGUGGAUAACCUACCUAUAAGACUGGGAUAACUUCGGGAAGCCGGAGCUAAUACCGGAUAAUAUUUUGAACCGCAUGGUUCAAAAGUGAAAGACGGUCUUGCUGUCACUUAUAGAUGGAUCCGCGCCGCAUUAGCUAGUUGGUAAGGUAACGGCUUACCAAGGCAACGAUGCGUAGCCGACCUGAGAGGGUGAUCGGCCACACUGGAACUGAGACACGGUCCAGACUCCUACGGGAGGCAGCAGUAGGGAAUCUUCCGCAAUGGGCGAAAGCCUGACGGAGCAACGCCGCGUGAGUGAUGAAGGUCUUCGGAUCGUAAAACUCUGUUAUUAGGGAAGAACAAAUGUGUAAGUAACUAUGCACGUCUUGACGGUACCUAAUCAGAAAGCCACGGCUAACUACGUG